AUAUGGAACAUGAAGUCCAAAUCUACAACAACCCCAAACACAUAUUUGUUUAUAAGCAAUCAAUCAGUCACAACGCUAUUAACAAGUAGCAGCCUAGAGCUAAUAAUGUGACAAAGACAAGAGCUUCAUAUGAAAGUAAUAAGCACACAAAUGUUGUAUCCAGUUUCAUAGAGUAGUGUUAAGGGAAAAUUACCCAUCUUCCGGAAAUACAAGAAAU